AACAACGGUGCGGUCGGAGCCCGGGUCCGGGUCUAGCGAUAACGUCAUGAAUCGACCCCGCCUGUACCUGCCUUACAAGCAGGGGGUCGGCGGUUCGAAUCCGUCAGCGCCCA
rnacentral:tRNA from 1 species